AAAGUGCGAUAACUCUGGUGAAUUGCAACUGGCGCGAAUCCUUGAACCUUUGAACGCAAAUUGUGCCCCGGCGUCAUGGCCGGGGCGCGCUCGUUUGAGCGUCGAAUGCAAACCAUCGCCGCGAGCUUCGCGCGCGACCGUGGGCCCUGCGGCUCGUCCGCACCGCCUCAAAACCGUCAUCGGCGCGACGGGACCAGGCUCCUAGCCCCCGAUCGAGUCGUCGUCGUUAAGAGGGAACCCUUCGAGAUGCGACGCUCCUUCGGAUCGGCCUGCGCCCCCUUCGUUUCGCGACCGGCCUCUUCUCCAACUCUCGACCUCAAAUCGAACGCGACCACCCGCCGAAUUUAA
rnacentral:misc_RNA from 1 species